rnacentral:lncRNA from 1 species
GUUCAGUAUUUAUUAAAUUAUACAUUAAUUUAAAUCACUAUACUGAUGCUAUGGGGAAUGCAAAAAUUCAUAGGAUAUUGUUAGUAUCCUCAAGGAGUUUACAGUCUAGUAGAGGAUAUGAUAUGUACAAAUAUGAGUAUGAUUAAAAAGUUGCAUAUAAUCUAUUCCAUGGACUGGAAAGAAUACCAGAUUUGAUUCAAAUUCUAUAACUGACAUUUACAAGUUGGUGGAACAUGGGCAGUUUCAGAGUCAUUUCAGAGGGAUGUUUGGGAACAUUUUGGUGUUCAGAGGAGGGGGAAUUCACUCUUGACCAAGGUGACUAGGGAAGGCUUCACAAAGCAGAUGCAGCAACAAGAACUUGUACUGAUGAGAGGGAUACAAACCUUACAGUGUUAGUGGCCAUUGGCCCCAGAAUAAAAGGAAGUUAGACCCACCUGGUUUUCUUUCUUUAAGAGGAGAGUCUCAAGAGAUGAAAUCUUCCAGGUGAAGACACACAAAAGAUUCACCCCAGAGUACUUUGAAUCCAUGAAGAAAAGAACCCCUGCCUUUGUGGAUGAAACAAAUCAUAUUAAGUCAGUACAGAUGAUGACUUGGAUUCCAUCUAUCCUAUACCU